GGGGACAACAGCUGGAAACGGCUGCUAAUACCGCAUAAGCGCACAGGACCGCAUGGUACGGUGUGAAAAGAUUUAUCGGUGUAAGAUGGACUCGCGUCUGAUUAGUUAGUUGGCGGGGUAACGGCCCACCAAGACAACGAUCAGUAGCCGACUUGAGAGAGUGAUCGGCCACAUUGGGACUGAGACACGGCCCAAACUCCUACGGGAGGCAGCAGUGGGGAAUAUUGCACAAUGGGGGAAACCCUGAUGCAGCGACGCCGCGUGAGCGAAGAAGUAUUUCGGUAUGUAAAGCUCUAUCAGCAAGGAAGAUAAUGACGGUACUUGACUAAGAAGCUCCGGCUAAAUACGUGCCAGCAGCCGCGGUAAUACGUAUGGAGCAAGCGUUAUCCGGAUUUACUGGGUGUAAAGGGAGCGUAGACGGCAUGGCAAGUCUGAUGUGAAAGCCCGGGGCUCAACCCCGGAACUGCAUUGGAAACUGUCGUGCUGGAGUGCAGGAGAGGUAAGCGGAAUUCCUAGUGUAGCGGUGAAAUGCGUAGAUAUUAGGAGGAACACCAGUGGCGAAGGCGGCUUACUGGACUGUAACUGACGUUGAGGCUCGAAAGCGUGGGGAGCAAACAGGAUUAGAUACCCUGGUAGUCCACGCCGUAAACGAUGAA
rnacentral:rRNA from 1 species